rnacentral:rRNA from 1 species
CCUACGGAGCGCAGCAGUGGGGAAUAUUGGACUAUGGGCGAAAGCCUGAUCCAGCCAUGCCGCGUGUGUGAAGAAGGCCUUCGGGUUGUAAAGCACUUUCAGUGGGGAAGAAAGCCUUGGGGCUAAUACCCUCGAGGAAGGACAUCACCCACAGAAGAAGCACCGGCUAACUCCGUGCCAGCAGCCGCGGUAAUACGGAGGGUGCGAGCGUUAAUCGGAAUUACUGGGCGUAAAGCGCGCGUAGGCGGUCUGAUAAGCCGGUUGUGAAAGCCCCGGGCUCAACCUGGGAACGGCAUCCGGAACUGUCAGGCUAGAGUGCAGGAGAGGAAGGUAGAAUUCCCGGUGUAGCGGUGAAAUGCGUAGAGAUCGGGAGGAAUACCAGUGGCGAAGGCGGCCUUCUGGACUGACACUGACGCUGAGGUGCGAAAGCGUGGGUAGCAAACAGGAUUAGAUACCCGAGUAGUC